rnacentral:rRNA from 1 species
AGAUUGAACGCUGGCGGCAGGCCUAACACAUGCAAGUCGAGCGGCAGCACGGGUACUUGUACCUGGUGGCGAGCGGCGGACGGGUGAGUAAUGCCUAGGAAUCUGCCUAGUGGUGGGGGAUAACGUUCGGAAACGGACGCUAAUACCGCAUACGUCCUACGGGAGAAAGCGGGGGACCUUCGGGCCUCACGCCAUUAGAUGAGCCUAGGUCGGAUUAGCUAGUUGGUGAGGUAAUGGCUCACCAAGGCGACGAUCCGUAACUGGUCUGAGAGGAUGAUCAGUCACACUGGAACUGAGACACGGUCCAGACUCCUACGGGAGGCAGCAGUGGGGAAUAUUGGACAAUGGGCGAAAGCCUGAUCCAGCCAUGCCGCGUGUGUGAAGAAGGUCUUACGGGAUUA